rnacentral:lncRNA from 1 species
AUAUUCUCAGAUCUGCAGUGACAUCACAACAUGUAACUGACCAAUCAAUGAUUAGCAUGUGUGUUAUAUAAUCAAUGUUGAGAGGUAAUGCGGAUAAGAAUCCUCUAGAUUUUCCAUAGACUUCAAUGCAAAUUAAUUUAAUUGAUAUAUAUUGACACCAGUUGAAUCUAGUAAUUUUACCCACUUAAUAUUGUUAAAGACAC